rnacentral:tRNA from 1 species
GUCUUCGUGGUAUAGUGGUCAGCACGCUCGACGCGUAACCGAGAGGUCAGUGGUUCGAAUCCCGGCGAAGGCU